AGGACGAACGCUGGCGGCGUGCUUAACACAUGCAAGUCGAACGGAAAGGCCCGCUUGCGGGUACUCGAGUGGCGAACGGGUGAGUAACACGUGGGCAACCUGCCCUCAGCUUCGGGAUAACUCUCGGAAACGGGUGCUAAUACCGAAUACGACCACCGAUGGCAUCUUCUGGUGGUGGAAAGUUCCGGCGGUGAAGGAUGAGCUCGCGGCCUAUCAGCUUGUUGGUGGGGUAAUGGCCUACCAAGGCGACGACGGGUAGCCGGCCUGAGAGGGUGACCGGCCACACUGGGACUGAGACACGGCCCAGACUCCUACGGGAGGCAGCAGUGGGGAAUAUUGGACAAUGGGCGAAAGCCUGAUCCAGCAACGCCGCGUGAGGGAUGACGGCCUUCGGGUUGUAAACCGUCUUUCAGCAGGGACGAAGCGCAAGUGACGGUACCUGCAGAGAAGCACCGGCCAACUACGUGCCAGCAGCCGC
rnacentral:rRNA from 1 species